AGUCAACACACACGACCACGAAGAUCAAACAGAACCCUCCCCCGGCCAUUUCAAUCGCACCUCUUCUCCGUCCCCAAUUCCAAUCCCUCGUCGAUCCAUCCUUCUUCGAGAUUUCUUGGCAUCGGAGGCUAUCGAGGAUCCACGAUUGCCACCGGCGAAGCUCCGAUCUGAUCCGGUCCGGAUGCCCUCGGGCGGAGGAGGCGGAUCGAUUCGCUCGACUUCGCGGAUGCUUGCCUGAUCGGUGGGCGCAGUAGCUUAUUCGGUUUUGUUUUGUUUGGAUCUGGUCUGUAAAGAUGAUAACGCGAUCAAAUCUCGCGGAGCAGCUGCGGGAGUACCAGGCGCGCUCCACCCACGAGUGGGCUAUCGUCUCCUUCUUCACAUCCUCCCGACAUGAACGCAGGGUGGACGUGAUACUUGUGAUGUGGGAGCUGUUGAUGUUUGCUUUAAUUGUUUUCUCGGGGGUGGCUUUGUAUUUCCGGUACAUGAAGGUUGCUUUGGCCCUAAUGUUUCUUACUUUUGUUAUGCUUGUCGGCAUGAGAGUAACAAGACAAGUAAGAAGGAACAGGAAGAUGAAGAGAAAGAUGCUCCUUCCUUUGUCAAUGUAAAAUUGUAGGGGCGUCGUUGGCAUUUCAGUGCUUAUAUGAAUUUGUUUAAAGGAUUUUUGCCGACAAAUCUUGUAGCUUCCUUGCAAAGAGAGUUACAUUUUUUUAGUAUCAAGCUAACAUUUUUUUGGCUGAAAAGAAUUACAGCAUAAUGCAGAUAUAGGUUUUGACUU